GUGCCAGCCGCCGCGGUAAGACGAACCGAGCGAACGUUAUUCGGAAUCACUGGGCUUAAAGGGCGCGUAGGCGGGCGGCCAAGUCAGGGGUGAAAGCCUCCAGCUCAACUGGAGAAGUGCCUUUGAUACUGGCCAUCUUGAGGGAGGUAGGGGCGUGCGGAACUUCCGGUGGAGCGGUGAAAUGCGUAGAUAUCGGAAGGAACACCGGUGGCGAAAGCGGCGCGCUGGACCUCUUCUGACGCUGAGGCGCGAAAGCCAGGGGAGCAAACGGGAUUAGAAACCCUCGUAGUCC
rnacentral:rRNA from 1 species